rnacentral:lncRNA from 1 species
GACCCCACGGAUAGAUUAGUGAGUGCAGUUGCCUGAGUUGUCAGGUCUAAAUCCUUUCCUACUAUCUGGAAGGUUAAAGAUGUACUUGCGCCUUAUGCCCCUAAGCUUUUUGGCUACGUCAAGACUCAUAAGGCUCCACCUGCUAUUCCACCCAUGGUCGACAAGAGGUCUUCUCCCCUAUACAACUUAGAAAGGGUCAUUGCCAAAUGGGCCACUAGACAUCUGAAAGGCUACUCCUAUAUCGUGGAAUCUUCAACUGAAUUCAUUGAUUCCUGGAAGGUGGGCCUUCCCCAACGAAUUGUUUUUCUGUCAUAGAUUUCGACUCCCUCUACCCAAGCAUGGAACAAGCGCCUGUGGCUUUAAUACUCUAUAGGUUUUUGGUCCAUUAUGUCCCAACCUCUAAUGAAUGUGUUAGCCUCCUGAGGAACAUUUGUCACUUAAUAACAUACAACUCUUACUAUGUUUUUCGGGAACAAUACUAUAUACAGAAAAGAGGUGUGCCCAUCGGUGGCCCCCUUGCGGGCGUUAUGGCAGAACUCAAUUAAAUACA